AAGUCGUAACAAGGUCUCCGUUGGUGAACCAGCGGAGGGAUCAUUACGAAGCAAGUUGAAAAACUGCUAAACCCUUGUGAACAUACCUGUAUAGUUGCUUCGGCGGACAGCCCCAGGGCGGGGCCGUAGCCUUUUAUAGGUGUCCGCCGACAGCAUUAAAACUCGUUUUUUACAGUUAUUCUGAGUUAUAAAACAAAUAAGUUAAAACUUUCAACAACGGAUCUCUUGGCUUUG
rnacentral:misc_RNA from 1 species